rnacentral:rRNA from 1 species
UCAGGAUGAACGCUGGCGGCGUGCCUAACACAUGCAAGUCGAACGGAGUAAUUAAGCGGAAGUUUCGGAUGGAAGCAUAGUACUUAGUGGCGGACGGGUGAGUAACGCGUGGGCAACCUGCCCUGUACCGGGGGAUAACACUUAGAAAUAGGUGCUAAUACCGCAUAAGCGCACAGCUUCGCAUGAAGGUGUGUGAAAAACUCCGGUGGUACAGGAUGGACCCGCGUCUGAUUAGCUAGUUGGUGGGGUAGAGGCCUACCAAGGCGACGAUCAGUAGCCGGCCUGAGAGGGUGACCGGCCACAUUGGGACUGAGACACGGCCCAAACUCCUACGGGAGGCAGCAGUGGGGAAUAUUGCACAAUGGGGGAAACCCUGAUGCCAGCGACGCCGCGUGAGUGAAGAAGUAUUUCGGUAUGUAAAGCUCUAUCAGCAGGGAAGAAAAUGACGGUACCUGACUAAGAAGCCCCGGCUAACUACGUGCCAGCCGCCGC